ensembl:processed_transcript Gm20456 predicted gene 20456
AGGUCUGAGAUUACAGGAAUGGGCCACCAUAUCCAACUCAGUCCUUCCAAAAGACACUUUUCAAAACUAAAAUAUCUGGAAAGGCGAUGCUGAGGCAAGAAAGGGGUUACUAAACAUAAUCGCUGUGCUUAAGCUAUGUGAGUACUCGCAGGAAGUACACUUACUAUUACUAUUGGUUCCUGGUAACACGAACUGUAACAGAGGCUGGGCCCCACUGCCAUUCGUAUCUGGAGACUUUGUGGAUCCCCGAAGCGUGGCUCCCACUCCCCCAACCUCCACAGCCUCCUGAGGCUCUGUGCACAUCCCAUGCCUAGCUCCAAGCGCAAUGUCACUUUUUAGAAAGGCUCUCAGAGCGAGAAGUAAAGCAUGAGUAUGUCUGUUGGCA